GGGGAGGAGGCAGCAGCAUCCGCGCCGGCCGUCGGGCCGUGAGGAGGUGGCGGCGGCGGCGGUCCGUCGGCAGCGCUGUGGGGGAGGAGUUGGUCGUGGGAGGAGGAGGCGGCGGCGGUGGCAUCGGGCCGUGGGAGGAGGAGGCAGCGGGGGCGGCGUCGGGCUGGGGGUAGGAGGCAGCGGUGGCGUCGGCAGCGGGCUGGGGGGGGGGGGCGNNNNNNNNNNNNNNNNNNNNNNNNNNNNNNNNNNNNNNNNNNNNNNNNNNNNNNNNNNNNNNNNNNNNNNNNNNNNNNNNNNNNNNNNNNNNNNNNNNNGGGCUGGGGGGAGGAGGCGGCGGCAUCGUGCUGCAGCUCGGCCACGCCGUCGCUGCAUCCUAAUUCCAGGCACCACCACCACGCGCACGACCACGCAUACAGGGGAGCGCUGCCCGCGUCGUCGUCGUCCUCCUCCUCACCAGCGCCGCCCGUGCAUGGUGGUUGUUGCCUCGAGCCGCAAGGUGAAGAGCUGCCGCACGAUGGUGGUGGUCGAAAUUUCGAAUAAAUGAUUAUGCUGCUAAAAUUUCGAAUGAAUGAUUGAAAUAUACGUUGUUAUGCUAUCAAAAUUUUGUAAAAUUUGGCAUUUAUUCGAUAGAUUUUGUCAAAGUUUUGUGAAUAAAAUCUGAAAUUACGUGCUAUAAUUUCGAAUUUUAUUAAUUUAAGUUCAAAUUAUCAAAUUUGAAAUUAUAUAUAUAUCAAAUUAUCCUCAAAGUUAUCAAAUAAAAACCAAAUUUCGAAGUAUAUUAAUUUCAGUUCAAAUUUAUCAUAUUUAAAACUAUUCAUAUCAAACUAACCACAAAUCUAUCGAAUAAAUACUAAAUUUAUUUCCUAUAAGUUAACGUACAAUAGGUUCAAAAGAGCGGGCAAAUCGGUCAGGUCGCCCUUCAUUUAACAUCCUUCACGGAGCAGGUCAGUUAGCUGUUUCGUUUUUGAAAAAAAGGGUCAAAUCUGCAAAGCUGAAAAAGUAGGAUCAAAUUCGUAGUUUGCGUUCAAAGUAGGAUCAGAUUUGCAAUUGCCCCUAUAUUUUGUGUUUCAUGUAAGUGAUACUUCCUCCGUUACGUGUUAUAUGAUUUUUUUUAAGUAUGUUUAUAGAUUUAUUUGGAUGCUAAUAAAUUUAAAUACAUGUAUAAAAUAUAUGUAUAUGCAUAUAUAUUGAUCCAUGAAUAAAUCUGCACAUGGACAGAAAGUUUUAUGAUAUGCAAUGGCUAUAGUAUAGUAAUAGAGUAAUUUUGAUCAAAAUACACCCUAUAUUUAAAAUAGGGAGAGUAGUUUUGUCGUGGGGGCGGCGAUAGCACGCAGCAGAAAGAAUCUUCAGACGAUUCACAAAUUACUACUCCCUUGGUUUCAAAUUGUAAGACUUUUUAAUCUUGCACACAUCCAAUAAUCAAUAUACAUGGUAUAUAUGUAUCUCUAAUUUUUUUUCCUUUUGAGAAGGGUAUUUUACUCGGUCUGUAUGUUCAACCGAAUAUAUAGCAUCUAUAUAAAUCUAAGUCUAUACUACUAUAAACAUUGUUACCACCAAGUCCUUGUUUUUUUUUAUCUAUACUCUAUUUUUAAAGAAAAAUAAAUAGUGGAUUCUAUAUAUAUAUAUAUAUACCGUUUUUACUGACUCUACUUAUUAUGAGAAGAAAAAAUCAUAAGAUUAAUAGACACAUAUGUCAAUAAUAUAUAUAUAUAUAACAAUUAAAAUACAACAUAUAAAAAAAUAAUAUUAACAAUACAUUAUGAUAAUUUUUUUUAAAAUAAACUAAGUGAACUAGAGGGAGCAGUAAGUAAGUAAGUUCUUUAAAGACCAUAUUGGUAGCUCAACUGGACGAAGCGUGGCGUAAGACCCAAUCAAAAUGGGCUGCGACCCGAUGAUCGCUCGACGAAAUCACGAAAAACAGAAAAAGAAGCUGAGCGAGUGGGUUGGGCCACUUGAACCCACCGAUGGGCUCCGGUCCAAGGGUUUGUAUCCUCUGCCAUUUUAUACUAGAACAUUAUGAUGUCAUUUGAUAAAUCUCAGCCGUCCGUUUUAAGAUAGCCGGCUAUGAAUUAGUAUGCUACAGUAUUAUGUCACAGUGCAAAAUAAUAAAUAUAUUAUUGUUUUACUGCUACAGUACCCUGCCAUUCUCUCUUCUUUCACUGUGCUAGCCUGACAUUGAGCAAUGGCAGAUUGGCAGGUGAUCCGGAUCCCCGGUCCAAAUAAGCUGUCGGUCGCCACAAGGAUGGCCUGUUGGAAAGAAAUCUAUCGAUCAGUUAGAUCGGGCCACCACUACACAGCUGGCCGAAAUUCACGGCCCACAUUUUGGCCCACUAUUGCAAUUUGCACGGCAGCGGCCCGAGGAUGGUGGACGACGGCGGCGCCGCCGAGCAGCGGAAACACCUAACACCACCAGUGUUUUUUUCGGGGAAUUAGCACCCUUAUAUUUUUACUUAUUAUACUUGUAACCUAAAAUUUAUAAUUUGAAUAUUAAGUUUUGAGUUAGUUUUUUAUUCAUCAUAGUCUAUUUUACAAAAUUUAUUUUUAUGUCACUAAUAACAUGUAUAUAAAAGUUUUGUCCAUGAAUUAUUUUUUAUUGUCAAUAAACUACAUCACUUGUUUGGAAAUAGAUAUCAGAACAACCAGCAAUGUCAUCAAUGCAUCAAGAUUAUUAGGACUCAAGAUCAAAUGGAUGGGUGCAGCCGUUUUUAAUAUGUGACUAAACAGAGUUUCGGCACGGAUUUGCUUGGAACUCUGUUUAGUAUGUGUGCAGCCGUUUUUAAUGCCUCAAUCCAUAAUUUAUUUGAUAAGUUGGAGUGACUAAGCAUGCUCCGCACCAUCUCCAUGAGUGUGCGGUUGCGUCUUUCUGCCACUCCAUUUUGUUGAGGCUCCCCAGGCAUGGAAUAUUGUGCAAUAAUCCCAUGAAUCUGAAGAUAUUGAGCAAA
rnacentral:lncRNA from 1 species